GACGAACGCUGGCGGCGUGCUUAACACAUGCAAGUCGAACGGAAAGGCCCUGCUUUUGUGGGUUGCUCGAGUGGCGAACGGGUGAGUAACACGUGAGUAACCUGCCCUUGACUUUGGGAUAACUUCAGGAAACUGGGGCUAAUACCGGAUAGGAGCUCCUGCUGCAUGGUGGGGGUUGGAAAGUUUCGGCUGUUGUGGAUGGACUCGCGGCUUAUCAGCUUGUUGGUGGGGUAGUGGCUUACCAAGGGUUUGACGGGUAGCCGGCCUGAGAGGGUGACCGGCCACAUUGGGACUGCGAUACGGACCAGACUCCUACGGGACGCAGCAGUGGGGAAUAUUGCACAAUGGGCGGAAGCCUGAUGCAGCAACGCCGCGUGCGGGAUGACGGCCUUCGGGUUGUAAACCGCUUUCGCCUGUGACGAAGCGUGAGUGACGGUAAUGGGUAAAGAAGCACCGGCUAACUACGUG
rnacentral:rRNA from 1 species